UGGCUGAGUUGGUAGAGCAUGGCACUUGCAUCGCCACGGUUGUGGGUUUGAUUCCCAU
rnacentral:tRNA from 1 species